ACGGGUGAGUAACACGUGAGUAAUCUGCCCCUGGCUUUGGGAUAGCCACCGGAAACGGUGAUUAAUACCGGAUAUGACCAUUCUUCGCAUGAGGUGUGGUGGAAAGUUUUUCGGCCAGGGAUGUGCUCGCGGCCUAUCAGCUUGAUGGUGAGGUAAUGGCUCACCAUGGCUUCGACGGGUAGCCGGCCUGAGAGGGUGACCGGUCACACUGGGACUGAGACACGGCCCAGACUCCUACGGGAGGCAGCAGUGGGGAAUAUUGGACAAUGGGCGGAAGCCUGAUCCAGCAACGCCGCGUGAGGGAUGACGGCCUUCGGGUUGUAAACCUCUUUCGGUGGGGACGAAGCGCAAGUGACGGUACCCACUAAAGAAGCACCGGCCAACUACGUGCCAGCAGCCGCGGUAAUACGUAGGGUGCGAGCGUUGUCCGGAAUUAUUGGGCGUAAAGGGCUCGUAGGCGGUUUGUCGCGUCGGGAGUGAAAACGCCGUGCUUAACACGGCGCUUGCUUUCGAUACGGGCAGACUAGAGGUAUUCAGGGGAGAACGGAAUUCCUGGUGUAGCGGUGAAAUGCGCAGA
rnacentral:rRNA from 1 species